rnacentral:RNase_P_RNA from 1 species
AGUUAGCCAGACGGUCGCAUGCGCUUGUAGUGAGAUGCAUGAGGAAAGUCCGAGCUCCAUAGAACAAGGGUGCCAGUUAACUGCUGGUGAAGGCGACUUUAAGGAAAGUGCAACAGAAAUAAACCGCCAUGCAAAUGGUAAGGAUGGAAAGGUGGAGUAAGAGCCCACCGCCCCGUUGGUAACAAUGGGGGCACAUGUAAACCCCACCCGGAGUAAGGUUAAAAAUGGCAAAAGGGCUGUUCGUCCGCCAUUUAAUAACACCGCUUGAACAUAAUGGAGACAUUAUGUCUAGAUAGAUGACCGCCAAAUACAGAACUCGGCUUAUAGACUAACU